CUGGUUCUUGAAGACACAACUAAAUGAAAAUGGAUGAAAUCAGAAUGGAGCCUAAUCCGAGGUGACUGCUGUCUUUGUGAGAACAGGGAAGGAACACACAGGAAGGCUCCAGGGGUGCGUGUGAGGACAGAGCAAGGAGGUGGCCUGUCUGCCAGCCAAGGAAAAGAAACCAGCCCUGCUGACAACCGGCCCUCAGACUGCCAGCCCAGUGGGAAAACUCAUUCUGUUAUCUAAGCCACUCUGUCUGCAACGAUUGGUUAUGGCGGCCCUAAAAAAUGAGUACAUUUUCCGUCUUUGUACUGUAAAGUUGUUGUUGUUUAAUAGAUUGUCUCUUUUCUUGGGUUUAAGGAAUAUCUUCAAAAAGAGCUUGUUUUAUUGAUGAACUUGGUGUAUUA
rnacentral:lncRNA from 1 species